CCCACGUCAAGUCAACGUACUCCCCACCCAGACCAAAUUUUCUUCUCAUCCCAUAAAUCCGUCGAGUCACACCUCUCUUCCUCCCCCUCCCCCUCCUUUUCCGUUGUUGUUCUCCGUCUCCAGAUCUCUUCCUUCCUUCCUUUUUUCCUCUCUCAUGCCUCAUCCACCACCACCAUCAUCAUCAAUUUCAGCAUCUUUCUCUCUUCCCAGAUUAAUUCAAGUAGUUUGAUCUGAUUGGGAGGACAGCGAUGGAUCACUCCAGACACAGCAACCAGCAUCAGCAGCUGGGAGUCAACAAGCUGGGGAAGAACAUCCGCAAGAGUCCUCUCCACCAACCCACUUACUAUAACCACAGGCCUCAUCCUACGCCGCCGCCGCCGCAGCCGCAGCCGCAUCCGCACCACCAGCCUCAACAGCCGCAGCCGCAGGUCUACAACAUCAGCAAGAACGACUUCCGCAGCAUCGUGCAGCAACUCACCGGCACGCCCUCCCGCGACUCCACCCCUGUACCCGCCGCCCCACAGCCCCGCCCCUCCAGCACCCGCCUCCAGAAGAUCCGCCCUCCGCCGCUCGCUCCUGUCGCUCGCCCCCCUCCACCUCCUCCUCCCCCGCCACUCGCGGCCCGCCCUCCUCCCUCUUUCGCCAAUCCUAACCCUAAUAUCCAUCACAAUCACCCAGCUGCUUUCCCCCGCCCCUCCCCCUCCGCCGGCCCCAGCUGGGCGGAGUCCCCCGUCUCCGCCUACAUGCGCUACCUCGAAAGCUCCCUCCUCAGCUCCGACACCUCCCACCACCCCCGCCCGCUGCUUCCCUCCCCAGGGCUGCUCCCUUCCCCGCGCCCUCCCUUCCCCUUCCCUUCCCCUUCCCCCGAAGGGCUCCAUAAUUCGGCCUCGCUUCCGCCCCUUACUCCGCCGUCCGCUUUCCCUUCUCUGACCGCGUUUUUGGAUCUGCUCUCGCCCAGAUCUCCUUACCCCCUGCUUUCGCCGGGGUUCCGCUACCCUACGCCGUUGACUCCCAACUUUGCCCUCUCGCCGUUGCCGCAACCAGGAAUUUUGGGGGCCGGGCCGUCACCCGGGCUGCAGCCGCCACCUUCCCCCGGGCUCUGGUUCCCUCAAUCGCCGUCAGGGUUCUUGCCCAUACUGAGCCCUAGAUGGAGGGAUAUGUUAUAAAUUAGUGAUCGUUGUGCGAAGCCCAGAGUCUACUCCUGUGUCAAACCUUGCGAUUUUUAACGUUCUCAAAAUUGGUUUCAUCGAUUGGUCUGACCAAAAUCCGAAGCACAACACUCAAGAUGAUGAUGAAGACAACUGCUGGCUUACGGAAUUCCUCUCGAGAUAUUGGUGGUAUUGACUCGGGAGUUCAAGAUCCAAGUGUGGCUGGCAUUAGAUGCUUUUGAAAUGCCAAUAUCUUGUGAGUGUCUGUUAGGACCACACGGCCAUGUAUGGUACACGGCCCGAUGCUCUUUCUCCCUUCAAUUACUUCCAAGCUUGCUCAAGGACACUUAAUCUUCACCAAUUUCGACUCCUGUGUACAGAAAAUGCACAAAAAGCAGAUCUCCGAACCAAAAGAGUAAAUAUGCUAAAAGGAAAGCUGGAAGUAUAAAAAUGCAUAGAUCAAGCAUGCUCAAAGUAUGUAAAUGUGCGUAAAAACAUGCAUAAAAGAGUAUAUAAUCUACGCACAUCAGUGUCAUAUUAGUAAGUGAUGUAUGUGAACU